GCAGAUUAUUGGCAAAGAAAAAUAUUCUGCCUAAUAACAAUGUCGCAUAUGAGAAGAAAACUUUCCUAUCCAGUUAUCCUAUGCUUCAACUGAUAUGUAGACCAUCGGAGAAGGUCAUGUAUUUAGCAGAGAUACACAUCUGUUUUAAAAAGAAAGAACUAAUUUAUUGCCCUCCAGACAAGAAUGAGUGUAAAGAAACAUUCAUCUAUCCAUCUAUAAACUGAUAAAGGAAAAAAAGAUGAUGAUUUAUCAUUAAUUUGAAGCGGUCCUCAGUUAGUAGCUUUAGCAAACCUAUAUAGCAAAGAAAUGCUUAAUGCCUGCCUAUAUUUUCCACAGAAUCGCUUUUCCAAGAAAUAAAUUACAGUAUGAUAUAAAUAUACACAUCCUGACCAUGGACUGUCAGCUAUCAGUAUGGAAGCCGAUGUUGAUGAACAUGAAUAAAAUAAAAUUAAAUUCUGAACUACA